ensembl:lncRNA
UCCAGGGCGAGCCACAUGGUUGGGGGGUGCGGUGUGCAUCGCAGCUGGGAGGAGUUUUACGAGCCGGAAGCGCCUCGGAGGGAGGGGACAGCCCGCAGGUGGGAGGGGACAGCCCACAGGUGGGCGGAGCAUCCCUGGUAGGCCGCAGGGAGAGCACGGCCCGAGUGUUGGCCACGAGAAAAGAUACAAAUACCUGCCAUGAACAAGGCCAGACUUCUGAUCUCUACCCUGGACCAGAAGUGAUGGAGCAACUUCUAAACCCCCCGUGGUCAUUGGAAUCACCUGGCCUGGUUUUUCCCGCUCCACCAGAACCGCAGAAGCCCAGUUUCUGGGAAUGCUGCUUGAAAAGAUAUAUUUUCAACAAGUCACAGCACAUUCUGGUGACUGCAGAGUCUGAGGGCACCUGCUCCGAAGAGUGAAACUGAGCAGCGAUACUGAGAAGAUAUUGGGCAUCGGGAGGCUGCCCUUAACUGUCCUGGCCCGGGAGCCAGGUUCAUGUUUCUCCAGCCAAAGGUUUUCCCUCUCCAGGAUUUGUGCUCCAGAAUCAUCCACCCCUUUCUGGAGCAUUCUGCACUUUGAAUUUUAGCCCCAAAGUCUUUAUAUUCUUAUAAAAUUGACAUUUUUGUAAUUUAGAGGAUUGGCCAUUUGUCAUUGAGUUGUCUGUAAUGUAUUGAGUUGGCCAAACAGUUUGUAAGAUGGUAUGGAAAAACCUGAAUGAACUUUUUGGCCAACCCAGUAAAAAAUAAUAGAUGCAAACUAAGAGUCCAAUCAAUGGGUUAAGUACAUUUUAAUGCAAAUAUACACAUGGCCUUCUAUUGCUGGUAUGAUUAUG